AUGGCCAUGGCCCAGUCGUUCUCCGCUCGCCGCCCGCCCCCCUCCCCGGCGCUCGCCUCCCCCUCCUCCCCGGCCUCCUCCUGGUCUCCCCCGAGGCGCGGGCCGCGGCGCCGCCGGGCCCUCACGGCCGCGUCCUCCCUCCAUUUCCGGCCGGAGGACGUCGCCGAGCUCGCGCACAACAAGGUCUUGAUUGCGGCGACGGUGGCGGGCGUGAUCGGGCAGCUGGCCAAGCCCUUCACCUCCGGCAGGGACAGGGGCAAAAUCGACAUCGUCAAGGCCGCCGCCCAGUCAGGGGGCAUGCCCUCCACCCACUCAGCGGCAGUUGUGGCAGUGACUACCUCGCUUGCGCUAGAAAGGGGGUUUGGUGACUCCAUAUUCGGGAUGUCGGUGAUAUUUGCCUCGCUUGUAAUGUAUGAUGCUCAGGGAGUCAGAAGAGAGGUGGGCAAGCACGCAAGGCUUUUGAACAAGCUAUGGGCCCUGCGGGAGCAGACGACGACUCAAGUUCAGGAGGACGGUGGUGGCCAGGUGAAUUCCACCUCCGAACUCCUCCCCGCAAACCGCGAGCUCGUCUCCGUUCCUCGGGACGCAUCUACGUCGCAGCGUUCAAACGGCAUCCCCUCCUCGACGCGCAACGACGCGACAAAACCGCCUAGAUGGAGCUCCCUCCAAAGCUCAGUGCCAGAGCUAACCGAGUUGACAGAGGAGCAUGGCCGGCUGAGCGAGUCCGUCGGCCACACGGAGGCGCAGGUCACAGCCGGCGCCUUGCUAGGCUUUGUUGUAAGCUUAGCCGUCCACGCGAUACUGUAA
rnacentral:rRNA from 1 species